rnacentral:rRNA from 1 species
ACUCCUAACCACACAUUGAGCUACACUAUCAACAUAGAAGAACUUAUGUUAAAACUAGUAACAAGAAAGCUUCUCUAUACACCCCCCUGUAUCAGUUAUAGAAAACCUGCUGACAAUUAACAGACCGAACAACGCCAAAAUAACAAAAUCAUGUUUAACUUACUGUCACACCAACACUGGAGUGUUAUAAAGAUUAGAUUAAAAGGUGUAAAAGGAACUCAGCAAAACACUGCCCCAACUGUUUACCAAAAACAUAGCCCCUGGCAACACAAGUAUCAGGGGUGUCGCCUGCCCAGUGAAACUAUUUCAACGGCCGCGGUAUUCUAACCGUGCAAAGGUAGCGUAAUCAUUUGUCUCCUAAAUAAAGACCAGUAUGAACGGCUAAAUGAGGACAGACCUGUCUCCUACACCCAAUCAGUGAAACUGAUCUUCCAGUACAAAAGCUGGAAUAAACACAUAAGACGAGAAGACCCCGUGGAGCUUAAGAUUAACUACUACCAACCCCUGCCCUAGUACACAAUCUUGAGUUGGGGCGACUUCGGAACAAAACAAAACUUCCGAGCACAGAACUAACAGUUCUCACCAAGGCCCACAAGCCAAAGGACAACAUGACCCAGUCACACUGACCAACGAACCAAGUUACCCCGGGGAUAACAGCGCUAUCUUCUUCAAGAGCCCUUAUCGACAAGAAGGUUUACGACCUCGAUGUUGGAUCAGGACACCCCAAUGGUGCAGCCGCUAUUAAUGGUUCGUUUGUUCAACGAUUAACAGU